GGGGAAUAUUGGACAAUGGGCGAAAGCCUGAUCCAGCCAUGCCGCGUGAAUGAUGAAGGCCUUAGGGUUGUAAAGUUCUUUCGCUAUCGAGGAUAAUGACUGUAGAUAGAUAAGAAGCCCCGGCUAACUUCGUGCCAGCAGCCGCGGUAAUACGAAGGGGGCUAGCGUUGUUCGGAAUCACUGGGCGUAAAGCGCGCGUAGGCGGCUAUUCAAGUCAGAGGUGAAAGCCCGGGGCUCAACUCCGGAACUGCCUUUGAAACUGUAUAGCUGGAGUAUUGGAGGGGAUAGCGGAAUUCCUAGUGUAGAGGUGAAAUUCGUAGAUACUAGGAGGAACACCGGUGGCGAAGGCGGCUAUCUGGACAAUAACUGACGCUGAGGCGCGAAAGCGUGGGUAUCAAAC
rnacentral:rRNA from 1 species